rnacentral:rRNA from 1 species
UGGGGAAUCUUGGACAAUGGGGGCAACCCUGAUCCAGCCAUGCCGCGUGAGUGAUGAAGGCCUUAGGGUCGUAAAGCUCUUUCGCCUGUGAAGAUAAUGACGGUAGCAGGUAAAGAAACCCCGGCUAACUCCGUGCCAGCAGCCGCGGUAAUACGGAGGGGGUUAGCGUUGUUCGGAAUUACUGGGCGUAAAGCGCACGUAGGCGGACCAGAAAGUUGGGGGUGAAAUCCCGGGGGCUCAACCCCGGAACUGCCUCCAAAACUAUUGGUCUAGAGUUCGAGAGAGGUGAGUGGAAUUCCAAGUGUAGAGGUGAAAUUCGUAGAUAUUUGGAGGAACACCAGUGGCGAAGGCGGCUCACUGGCUCGAUACUGACGCUGAGGUGCGAAAGUGUGGGGAGCAAACAGGAUUAGAUACCCUGGGUAGUCCACACCGUAAAACGAUGAAUGCCAGUCGUCGGGUAGCAUGCUAUUCGGUGACACACCUACGGAUUAAGCAUUCCGCCUGGGGAGUACGGUCGCAAGAUUAAAA